AGGGUUUGAUUCUGGCUCAGGACGAACGCUGGCGGCAUGCCUAAUACAUGCAAGUCGAACGAACCAUCCUGAAGAUUGAAGCUUGCUUCAUGAUUCAGAUUUUGGUGAGUGGCGGACGGGUGAGUAACACGUGGGUAACCUGCCCAAAAGUGGGGGAUAACAUUUGGAAACAAGUGCUAAUACCGCAUAACAACUACUUUCACAUGAUCGUAGCUUGAAAGAUGGCUCUGCUAUCGCUUUUGGAUGGACCCGCGGCGUAUUAGCUAGUUGGUGAGGUAAUGGCUCACCAAGGCAAUGAUACGUAGCCGACCUGAGAGGGUAAUCGGCCACAUUGGGACUGAGACACGGCCCAA
rnacentral:rRNA from 1 species